rnacentral:rRNA from 1 species
AACAAACGCUGGCGGCGUGCCUAAUACAUGCAAGUCGAACGGGGAAAGCUUUCGGGUGAGUACUAGUGGCGCACGGGUGAGGAACGCGUGGAUAAUCUGCCUUAGUGUGGGGUAUAACUAGUCGACAGAUUAGCUAAUACCGCAUAAGACCACGAGAGCUGCGGCUUUUGAGGUCAAAGGUUUUUCGCUCUAAGAUGAGUCCGCGUAAGAUUAGCUAGUUGGUGAGGUAACGGCUCACCAAGGCGACGAUCUUUAACUGGUCUGAGAGGAUGAUCAGUCAAACGGGAAAUGAGACACGGUCGAGACUCAUACGGGAGGAAGGAGUAGGGAAUAUUGCAGAAUGGAGGAAACUCUGAUGCAGGGACGCGGCGUGAGUGAUGAAGGCCUUCGGGGCGUAAAGCUCUGUCGCAGGGGAAGAACACAAUGAAGGUACCCUGUAAGAAAGGAUCGGCUAACUUCGUG